GACGAGGGGUGCGAGCGUUAUUCGGAAUUAUUGGGCGUAAAGGGUGUGUAGACGGUGUGCCAAGUCUGUUGUUAAAUCUCCCGGCUUAACCGGGAAUCAGCAGUGGAUACUGGUAUGCUAGAGGGUGGAAGAGAGAAGUGGAAUUCUCGGAGUAGCGGUAAAAUGCGUAGAUCUCGAGAGGAACACCAAUGGCGAAGGCAGCUUCUUGGUCCAUUUCUGACGUUGAAACACGAAAGCGUGGGGAGCAAACAGG
rnacentral:rRNA from 1 species